UACGGAGGGUGCGAGCGUUGUCCGGAUUUAUUGGGCGUAAAGAGCGUGUAGGCGGCUUUACAGGUCCGUUGUGAAAACUCGAGGCUCAACCUCGAGACGCCGGUGGAAACCGUAAGGCUAGAGUCCGGAAGAGGAGAGUGGAAUUCCUGGUGUAGCGGUGAAAUGCGCAGAUAUCAGGAGGAACACCCGUGGCGAAAGCGGCUCUCUGGGACGGUACUGACGCUGAGGUGCGAAAGCGUGGGGAGCAAACAGG
rnacentral:rRNA from 1 species